AGUGAACGCUGGCGGUAGGCCUAACACAUGCAAGUCGAACGGCAGCACAGUAAGAGCUUGCUCUUACGGGUGGCGAGUGGCGGACGGGUGAGGGAUACAUCGGAAUCUACUUUUUCGUGGGGGAUAACGUAGGGAAACUUACGCUAAUACCGCAUACGACCUACGGGUGAAAGCAGGGGAUCUUCGGACCUUGCGCGAUUGAAUGAGCCGAUGUCGGAUUAGCUAGUUGGCGGGGUAAAGGCCCACCAAGGCGACGAUCCGUAGCUGGUCUGAGAGGAUGAUCAGCCACACUGGAACUGAGACACGGUCCAGACUCCUACGGGAGGCAGCAGCGGGGAAUAUUGGACAAUGGGCGCAAGCCUGAUCCAGCCAUACCGCGUGGGUGAAGAAGGCCUUCGGGUUGUAAAGCCCUUUUGUUGGGAAAGAAAAGCAGCAGGUUAAUACCCCGCUGUUCUGACGGUACCCAAAGAAUAAGCACCGGCUAACUUCGUG
rnacentral:rRNA from 1 species